GGGAGUAGCACCUGGAAGAAUGAACACAAAAGAAGAAUGAGAAGAAAGAGCUUGUUUAGACAAUUCUGCUCUUAACCAAUCCUCGCAGAGGGGAAAUGCAUAAAAUAUUGAUGUAGGGAUGGGUGUGGAUCAGGUUGGAAGACAAGAGCUUUCCUAUCCAGGACAGAGCUUUGCUCAGCUUUCAGAUGGAAUAAUCCCCAAGAAAUAAAUGCAUGAAAUUGGAAACAUCAGAGACCCUCGUCUGCAAGGAGAAAAAAGACUGCUAGGAAUCAUAGAAAUGGAAGGACCAGCCUGAGGAGAAGCUAUGGGACAGGUUGGGUAGCUGCAUCCUGGGAGGGAGCAGAUGCCAAGGGUCCUGGACUGGCCUGUCUGCCUGCCGACAGUCACAGCCCUGGACAGCAAACCUGCCUCCUGGAAAGCUCAUCUCCUUUCUGGCUGUCCACUGUCCUCUUUUUCAAGAGAUGAAAUAGACAGGCCACUAAGAAGCAAAGAGGUACAGCCAUUACUGACUGAUGUCUUCAUAACUAAGUCCCAUACUUACUACAUAGAGAAAUCCAAGGAGAGACAGCCAAGAGGCAAAGAGGAGAAAGACAAGUGAGACCCUGCGACUGAUUCACAGCUGGAGGAUGUCAAGAAAUGGGGCAGCAGAGGCCAAGGCUAUAACACUUGAUGGGACAGCCUCUGGAAGACCCUCCUUGAAUUCGGCCUUGCAGUUGUUCUGCCUGUAGUGGACUCAAGACAAGGCUACCUUUUAAGUGCAUUUCACCAUCCUCCUCCCCUUUCUGGUCCAGCACACACCUCCUCCCGUCU